UGAUGGAGUUGCAAAAUUUACCACGGUUCUAUGGUCAACUAAAGGAGACUAAUUUCAUUUAUCAAAGGACAGGAGACUUUCCAUGCCUCAAGACUUUAAAAGCUGAAAUUGUAAGGCUUUAAGGAACUAAUGUAUAUGUAUAUGGUAUUAUCUUAAGUUUCCAUAAAAAACAUUAUCAAGUAUAAUUUAAGUCUUUAACUUUUUUAUUUAAACAUAUUUUUAAGAAAAAUAAAAUGUUUUAACUUUGUUCAAUGCAUCUGCUCUAUGGUCAGGUUGUUGUCGCUUUGACACAUUCACCAUUUUCUUUCUCAGUUUUACUUUUAUAAUUUCUUCAAUUGGAAGAAAUAAAGCACAUAAUUUGUACACAAUAACCUUUUUGAUUUAAGCUUUCGUAUGAACCUUUCUUUUAGAUCAUUACAUGAAGCUUACACUGUUUGAAGAGAUGUGGGUAUAUGCCAAUGAGACAGCAACUCAACUACAAGAAUAACCAAAGGAACAAAUCAAGAUACUUUUUUAACUGUCUAAUCAAACAUAAUGCUCCCUACAGUCAAAUACCAAACAAUUAAAAGAGUAAAUGCAUGCAGUAAUUCUUUAAAUACAUAAUGUUUGUCUCCAAUUAAUAAAGCAGUUGUCUGAAUUUGUGUCAUAUCUUUGUAGGGAAAUAAGAUGCAGAGAACCAUUCAUGAAGUGUAUACAUGAAACAGAUAUUUACAAUGUUCUUUAGAGCUAUAACUCUAGCCCUUAAGAUUACAUUACACUACUAUUGCUUGCUAAUUCUACUAUCAACAGUAAAAGAGAGAAGAUUCAGGACUAAGAGUGAUUUUUGCAGUUUGCUGUGGAUGAAAUUUGGAUGUAUUGAUGAAAUUAAUACAACAAUAACAGUUAAUUCUUUGAACAAGAAAAAGCUGUGCAAUGGUGCAAAACAAAAAACUUAUGAACCAUAAAAUGAUUAAAUCUGUGUUGAGUUUUCAAUUUUUAUAAAAGUGACAACAUUUACCUACAUGUAAUGAAAUAUAAUAAACCCCA
rnacentral:lncRNA from 1 species